AGUUAAUUUUGUUCUUUUAUUAUUAUUAUUAUUAUUUUCUUGUAUAGUGAGUUUGUUUGUGUAUCUUGUAUGCCUUUGUCCACAAUUUUUUCAAAUCCUCUUCAAAUUAAUUAAAAUUUACAUUUUAUUGCGUGUAGACUUGGUGAAAUUUGUGGAAGAAAUUGUGAGGCUCGAACAUGCUUCAUUUCCAAAUAAGCCAAUUUAUCUGGUGGGCGAUUCCUUUGGGAGAUGCCUAGCACUUGCUGUCGUAGCUUGUAAUCCAACCAUUAACCUGGUAGUAAUAUUAGCCAAUCCAGUUCAUUUGGCAGGUCACAGCUCCUACCUUUGUUCCCUCUCCUGGAGGCUAUGCCCAAUGAACUUCAUAUCACAAUGCCUUACCUUCUUAGCUUUGUUAUGGGUAUAUGCUCUGUUGCUUUAAAAUUUUUUAUUUGUAUUCCUAAUAUUUUUGUGACUUGAAUUUGAAGAAAUUCAAAUUUGUCUGCUGCUUGUAAUUGUGGCAUCCUUGUUAAAUUGCCUAUGUGGAUUUGAUAAAACAAUCGAGCACUGUGAUCAUAUGUGCCCAAACUGUCUACUUGACUGAUUUCUUUCACAUCAUCUAUUCAUAAUAGUCUUGCACUUUUGCUCAUCAACAUGACCAUUAAUGGUUCAUUGAAUAAAUUUUAAAGCAUGAGCUUCGUUCAGAUAUGUGGUUAUAUGCGUAAAUCAAUAACCAAUUAUAUCUAUGAGAACGUUACUGAUUUGCUCCAGUCAUGGAAAAAUCAGCAGUUGGCCUCAAGAAGAACAACUCUGGCCAAAUUUGACGGCAAGUUUUAGAAGGAUGAGCUCAAUGCGAAGCUGCCAAACCAAACCCAAGCUAUCUGAAAAUGUCUGGGAAGCACUUGUAGGUUGGGAUUUAGAGCUAAAAACACUUCAAACUUAACCGGAAAAGGACGCUAAGGGGGCGAAACUAUGAAACAGCCCCCAAACCACUAUGUGGCUGUCACGAACAGCUUCCCCAUCACAAAUAGGACCUGUGGACGAAAUGUAAUUUGCACUUGUAGGUUGGGAGUUAGAGCCAAAAACGCCUCAAACUUAACCGAAAAAGGGCAUCAAGGGGGGCGAAACUACAAAACAGCCCCCGAACCACUGUGUGGCUAUCACGAAUAGUUUCCCUAUCACCAAUAGGACCUGUGACAAUAGAAGAAAUAUAAUUUUCACUUCUAGGUUAGGAGCCAAAGGCCAAAACACUGCAAACUUAACUGAAAAAAGGCGUUAAGGGGGCAAAAGUACGAAACAGCCCCCGAACCACCAUGUGGCUGUCACAAACAGCUUCCCCAUCACAAAUUAGACCUGUGACAACAGAAGGAAUGUAAUUUGCAUUUGUAGGUUGGAAGUUAGAGCCAAAAACGCCUCAAACUUAACCGAAAAAGGGCAUUAAGAGAGCAAAACUAUGAAACUGCCCUUGAACCACCAUGUGGCAAACAGCUUCCCCAUCACAAAUAGGACCUGUGACAAUAGACGGAAUGUAAUUUGCACUUGUAGGUUGGGAGUUAGAGCCAAAAACGCCUCAAACUUAACCAAAAAAGGGGUUUAAAAGGGCGAAACUACGAAACAACCCCCAAAUCGGACCUGUGACAAGAGACAGAAUGUAAUUUUCAUUUGUAGGUUGGGAGUUAGAGCCAAAAAUGCCUCAAACUUAACCGAAAAAGGGCGUUAAGGGAGCGAAACUAUGAAACUGCCCCCGAACCACUAUGUGGCUGUCACAAAUAGCUUUCCUAUCACAAAUAGGACCUGUGACAAUAGACGAAAUGUAAUUUGCACUUGUAGGUUGGGAGUUAGAGCCCAAAACGCGUCAAACUUAACCGAAAAAAGGGCGUUAAGGGGGCGAAACUACGAAACAGCCUCCGAACCACCGUAUGGCUAUCACGAAUAGCUUCCCCAUCACAAAUCGAACCUAUGACAAUAGACAGAAUGCAAUUUGAAUUUGUAGGUUGGGAGUUAGAGUAAAAAACGCCUCAAACUUAACCGAAAAAGGGCGUUAAGUGAGCAAAACUAUGAAACUGCCCCCAAACCACUGUGUGGUUGUCACGAACAGUUUCUCCAUCACAAAUAGGACUUGUGACAAUAGACAGAAUGUAAUUUGAACUUGUAAGUUGGGAGUUAGAGCCAAAAACACCUCAGACUUAACUGAAAAAGGGUGUUAAGGAGGCAAAACUACAAAACAGCCACCGAACCACCGUGUUGCUGUCACGAACAACUUCUUCAUCACAAAUAAGACCUGUGACAAUAGACGGAAUGUAAUUUGCACUUGUAGGUUGGGAGUAAGAGCCAAAAACGCCUCAAACUUAAAAAGCUGUAUCGACAUCUAUAACAUAUAAAAACAAUAUAUCAAGUUUUGAGACUUCAUUUUUUCUUUAAAAAGUUGUAUUGACAUCUAUAUAUUUUCUACAUCAUUUGAUUUGGCUCCCAUUGAUUAAUGGAUAUGACUAGCAUUAUAUGCCCUGCUUUGGUACUUUCCCUUGUUCAUUUUCAGGAUCUUACAAAUAUGUCUUCAUCCAAUGCCCUCAAGUUCCCCAUUAUUAAGUGUAAAAUUUUAAAAAUUUUAAACUUCUCUAGUUGAAAUAGUGACCUGCUAAAUAUAGAUGUUAACCAUCACACUAUAUUUGCAAAAGGAAUCACAAGACAAAAUAAAGCUUUGUUAACAUCAUCAAGACGGCUCCUUUAGUACCAUUUUCAUGGGGAUAGGUAGAAUUUGGGAAACUGAUUAGUUGCAACAUUAAAUUAUUUUUCCAUUAGAGCAACUAUACUAUUUUCAUUCUCAGAGUUUGUAUAAUGAUAUUUUUCUCUCUAUCCAAGCAAAGAGGAGUUGUGUCAAGUUGGAUAUUUACAGAAAGUUCUCAAAUGCAUUAGCAGGAACAAUGAUUUCUUCCAUUGCUUGGAUAGGAUAUGAGUUCACUAUGACUGAUACAGAAAACUAUUGGCAGCCAACAGAUAAUUACUGGCAUGGUAGAUAGAUCACAUUUUGUCACCAUACAUAUAUAUGAUUUUUUGCCGUGGUACAUAGAUGUACUUUUGUCUUCAUACAAACAUCACCUUUUGUCGUGGUACAGAUUACAAUGGUAAUUUGUACCAUGCCAAAUGGUCAUUUCACAUGGUAGUAAAUGUAAUUUUUGUAUAUAGAGGGCUUUGAUUUUUGUAUGAUUCUAUAUUUUG